rnacentral:lncRNA from 1 species
AGAUAAUCCUGAAGCAGUUGCAGAGAUACUCAAGGUUUUGCUCUGGAGAUCCCUGAUCUUAGUGCAUCUUAUCUCUAAAGCUUGCUCUGGGCAUGACAGGAGCAGGCAGAGAUGGGUUGCUCUAGCCAGGUGUGAGUUACGUGAUACCUAACCAGUGCUAAGGAUGUUAAUUUGAACUGCUCAUCCAAUUUUAGUCCCUCAGUCUCAUCCACCAUACUGCAGAUGACAUACAAAGAUCAAUAACCUGCAAGAAAACCUUUCCCAGGUGGAACAAAUUGCAGUCACUUCAUCCCAAACACCUGCACUGAUCUUCAGAGAGGACUGAUAGCAGAGAUUUGCUGUUUCUUAUGCUGUCAGAAGGUGUUUCUGUAACUCUGUCCAAGCAGUGACAGGAUGGGUCUGUGUGGGGCUAUGCUGAUUCUGCCUGUGUUUUCUUUAUUAAUCAAGGGGACAGAGUAUGCAGCCACUGAACAGGUUUGGCAGAGGAUAAAAGCAAGCUGGCUGGGAAGGCCCACUGAAAAAUUGACUUCAUCGCAGAAAAGGAUUGUUGAAGAGAAAUUCUGUUUGCUGGCUUUCACAAGAAUGGUUGGUGGAUGGUCGGAAAAUAAAGGAAUACAUAUGAGACAAGGGCAGAAAGGUGCUAUCAGAAGUAGGUGAGAAAAGGGGAUGUCCACAUCGAGCUGGCCUGGCAACGUCACCUGUAUGAAUGCGGCCAGGGUCAGACUAUAUGUUCCUUUACCAUCUUACUGCAGCACCCGUGAGAUGUGGGACUACUUCUUGCUGCUAGCUGGUGGGUGAACACCAUCACCCCCUUGCUCUUGUGAUUUGCAGUUUUGCCUGACAGUCCUGGUUUGCAGCAGAGCAAGCAGGCACCGCAGGGCUUGUGGGAGUUCUGCAAAAGUUGAAAAGCUCAGCACCUGGCUUCCAAAGCAAACACUAGAACUUUACUCCCGCUUUCUGCUCCUGCCUUUAAUAAUGAGUUAGCAAGGAGGAAGCUGGCGAAGCUGUGACCGGGAUCACUUUAAGGCCAAACCCCAGCUUCUCACUGAGAGCUCGCGUUCCAGAGCUGCUACCCCUCCGAGCCAGGGCUGCUAGCGCCACCUGGUGACACCCUCAGCCCAGUCCCGUACAGCUUUCUGCUCUUCGACCCUUCCCUGGAAGUUCAGAUCUUCCACCGGAGCAGACGGUCUGUCUGACUGCGCCCACCGCGCGCCCGCUCCGGUGGCGUUCGCUCGGGCACCCGCUAUGGUUCCCGGUCGGAGCCGGUCUGUGCUGCAGGUGGCCUGAGGGGUCCGAUUGAAUCCCAGCCACCCCCUCCUCCCUGCAGCUCUGGCGCUGUCUCCUGGCAGCCUCCUGUUGCCGCAGCCCCAGCGGGAUCUGUCAUCUCUGUUAGGAGCAGGGCCGUGUCACUGUAGGGCUGACGGUGGUUCUUAUGGUGGCUGGUACCACCCUCCCGUACGUGUCACCAGUUCAGCUGGUAUAAAAAAGAGGGUACAUGCUCUCUGUGGGAUGCUGGUGAGGCACCCUCUCCCAGGCAGCUGAGGCAGAUGUGCUGUUUGGCACUGACUGAUUCCCGCUCUGCUAGCUCACAGCUCCAGCUGGGGCAGGCUACCUCCACAGCUCCAGCCGAUAAGCACU